AUGAACGCUGGCGGCGUGCCUAAUACAUGCAAGUCGAGCGAACGGACGAGAAGCUUUCUUCUCUGAUGUUAGCGGCGGACGGGUGAGUAACACGUGGAUAACCUACCUAUAAGACUGGGAUAACUUCGGGAAACCGGAGCUAAUACCGGAUAAUAUUUUGAACCGCAUGGUUCAAAAGUGAAAGACGGUCUUGCUGUCACUUAUAGAUGGAUCCGCGCUGCAUUAGCUAGUUGGUAAGGUAACGGCUUACCAAGGCAACGAUGCAUAGCCGACCUGAGAGGGUGAUCGGCCACACUGGAACUGAGACACGGUCCAGACUCCUACGGGAGGCAGCAGUAGGGAAUCUUCCGCAAUGGGCGAAAGCCUGACGGAGCAACGCCGCGUGAGUGAUGAAGGUCUUCGGAUCGUAAAACUCUGUUAUUAGGGAAGAACAUAUGUGUAAGUAACUGUGCACAUCUUGACGGUACCUAAUCAGAAAGCCACGGCUAACUACGUG
rnacentral:rRNA from 1 species